UAGUCUGCAACUCGACUACAUGAAGCUGGAAUCGCUAGUAAUCGCAAAUCAGAAUGUUGCGGUGAAUACGUUCCCGGGUCUUGUACACACCGCCCGUCACACCAUGGGAGUCGGAAAUGCCCGAAGUCUGUGACCCAACGAAAGAGGGAGCAGCCGAAGGCAGGUCUGAUAACUGGGGUGAAGUCGUAACAAGGUAUC
rnacentral:rRNA from 1 species